CACGCAUGUCACCUAACCUGGAUCUAAAAAUAAAAACAAUACUGCAAUAGCAAUCUUGGCAUUGUAUUCCAACCGUCUCGCCGGAAAAAUGUAGACAGGUAAACGACGCAAUAUAUGUUUAAAUCAUCGUUGUGCAACCCAUCACGUUUGUAAAUAAACCAAAUCUGUAGAAGACAACAAACAUUUUAAACUAACCUCAACUUUCUCCAAAUGAAGGAGAUCACAGCAGGUAUCCAGUGAGAUUGUAUACGAAAAUGCCUGGAAAGGUGAAGGUAAAGAUAUUGGCUGGAAGGAAUCUUCCAGUCAUGGAUAGGUCAAGUGAUACUACAGAUGCUUAUGUUGAAAUUAAAUUGGGUAAUAUUACAUAUAAGACUGAUGUUUGCCGAAAAUCUUUACAUCCACAAUGGAAUUCUGAUUGGUAUAAAUUUGAGGUGGAUGAUUCUGAACUUCAAGAUGAACCAUUACAAAUCAGGUUAAUGGAUCAUGAUACAUACUCAGCUAAUGAUGCUAUUGGAAAAGUUUAUUUGGAUUUAAAUCCUCUUCUUUUACCUGCAACAAACUUACUGCGCCACAAUAUAGAAAAUACGAACGAACGCAAUAAUUCGACAAUGUCAGGGUGGAUUCCCGUUUAUGAUACAAUGCAUGGAAUCCGUGGUGAAGUUAACAUCAUCGUUAAAGUAGAAUUAUUUACUGAUUUUAACAAAUUUCGAUCAUCAUCAUGUGGAGUCCAAUUUUUUUGUUCGCCUGCGAUUCCCCAAGGAUUUUAUGCACAAAUUGUGCACGGUUUUGUGGAAGAACUCGUAGUUAAUGAUGACCCCGAAUAUCAAUGGAUUGACAAAAUCCGCACACCAAGAGCCUCCAACGAAGCUCGACAAACCCUUUUUUUCAAGUUAUCUGGCGAACUGCAACGAAAAAUCGGUCUUAAAGCUUUGGAUUUGGGAGGCAACGCUGUAAUUGGGUACCGACAAUCUUUUGAUUUGGAAGGAGAUUCCGGAAUCGUAGCUAGAGGCAUUGGAACAGCUGUUACGUUAAUUCGAAUACCGGAUAAUCAAUCGGUUAUUUCAACGGAAAAUAAUUAUAAUGAAGAGCGUGCACAUAGUUACGUAAAAUUCCUGUGCGCAGAUAAAGGCUUUCAUCUUAACAAAAAGCCACGAAAUCUGCCGCAUCUUAACAAAUUAUUCCAUCCCCCAUCCUUAUCCCGUUCCACACCUUCGCCAUUAAUAGCUCACAAAAACUUAAAUAAAUCCCUUUCGACCGGUGAAAUAAUCCCGAAAAAAUUAAUAAAACAAAACACCCAUAUCGAGUUCGCCCCGUUACCAAAGCCUUUAAUCAUUCAACAUAGUAAUUCGUUGCAAACACUUUUAAAACAAGAAGAUAUGCGUGGAGUGCCAAGUACUGGGUUAUCUCAACGUUUGAGAAACUUAAAAUAUCUUCAAAUUGGUAAAAAAUUAACCGGUUUAAAAGGAAAACGUUCGGCUGUUUCUGAACCGGGAAGCAGCGACGUCGAAAAAAGUCAAAAUAAAAUUAAGUAUCCAUUUCGAAGAACGAUCAGUGAUUCAAAUACAAUGGCUGAAGUUUUAGUGCGAUCAGUCUUACACGUUCAUAGUAGUUUAGAUUGUAUCAUGGAAGCUCCAAAUCCACCGCAACCAACAUUUAGAAAACAAAUAUCCUUAAACGAAUCAACACAAACAAAAGAUAGUUCGUAUUUAUCACUCCCCGAUGACUCAUUCGAUGCUUCUUCAAACCCCUCAGAAAUUUCCGAUAGUAGUUCAUCAGACGAUGAAGUUUCUGAGCCAAAAGAAACCACGGUUGAAUAUGACACAGUGAGCGGAAUCGUUAAAAACGUCAGAAGAUUAAGUAUGUUAAACGAAAAUGUUUCCGAAAUUAAUUUAACUGGAAAUUUCGGUGUUAUGGAAACUUGUUCCGAAAGUGAUAUUGAAAACAGUUAUAAAGAAAGUACCGUUUCACCCGAAGAUGAUCAAAAACCAUGGGAAUUUCCUGAUAAUAAAGUUUCUUUUACAGUAGGUGAUGAACAAGACGUUGAACCUGAAAAUAAUUCAACUAAAACUGAAAAUAAUUUAAUUUUGCAACCAAUAAUAAAAGAAGAAGCGAAAGAAAAAAGCUUAUUUAAAAUUGGUUUAGAAGCUAUGCUAUUAGAUAAAGUAAAUCUCAUGGGAACAUACACCCCCCCAACAUCACCAUCUAUUCAAACUCCAUCAAAAAAGUUCGAAUUGCCAGAAAAAAAUGAAUCAUUUUUUCCAAAAAUUCAAAAAACGUUCGAAAAUAUACGAAGAAACUCAACCAGCAUGUCUCUAAUCGAUUUAGAUAAAACCAACAUAAAACGAACGAAUUCAUUAAAUGAAAUUUCAAACAGAGGGAAAAUACAAAAAGUGAAAAAAAGUGUUUUAUCUUUACAGCAUCACGAUACGGUUUUAGGAGCCCCCUUUAUUUCCCUUCGCAACAAACACGUUGAAAUGAUGACUCGAAAUACAAAAAGUAAUAGCAUAGCUAAUUCUCCAACAGAAAACGAAUUUAAACACCGAUUCACAUCUUUGCAUAACAUUAAUAUAAAAACAUCGGGGCAUCAUAGCUUUCUAACGAAAGCUGAAAAGAAAGUUAAGGAUGUGAUUCAAACGCCGUUUUUAUUGUUGCAAAAUUUGCAUUGGGAACGAAAACGAAAUGAUGAGAAAAAAAGGAAUAGUUUAGAACGCGGUUUACUUGGCACGGCGCUUCAAAAUGUUUUAAGAGAUACCGUUAAUGAUAUUUUAAUUACAUCACACGUUGGUAAAAAUGACGAUAAAAAUGAUAUAAAUAGUAAAAAUGACUCCCAAGAAUUAUCCAUACCUAUAUUAACGCCAGCAUUGCCUACUAUCAAUAUGGAAAUUGAAGGCAUCACUAGUGCUAAUAAGUUGCAUGCAAGCUUUUCCCCUUUUGAUAGGCCUGUUGGAUCACCACAACAAUCGGAAACAACCAACAACCGCUACGAACAAGGACAUCAACGAACCGAAUCGAUGGGUGCUAAAAUAUCACAAAGUCCGGCCAAACUCAACGCUAUUUCUUGCAUACACAGGAGAUCAUCCGAUUCUGAUCUCAGUAUUACUCCUAAAGGACUGUUUAGGAAAAGAAAUAGCCUAACCGGAAGUGACCGAUCAACAGGUAACGCUGGGAUGCAAAUGAUGAUAAAAAAAGCUUUCGUACGCACAACCGCUCCACACGAAAAUUUUGAAUAUCUCGAAUAUCCAUUUUUAACAAUGGCUAGUUAUCCACCUGGGUUUAUUUGUUAUCUUGGUGGUGUUGUUUGCGCGAGAUCAGUUAAACUCCUCGAACGCAUAACAAAUUUGGAAGAGCCAGAAUCGAGAGAUACGUGGUGGUCCGAAAUUCGCAUGGAAAUCCGGUCGCACGCCAGAUCAUUAAGUUGUAACGCGGUGUUAAAUUACAUGGAAACCACCACGAUUUGCGACGACGUUUGCGUAUUGAGCGCCUCAGGAACCGCCGCUGUGAUCGGUUUUCAUUAUUCUAGUCGCGAUAGUCUUAGUAGAUUACCAAGUUUAUCUAGACACCAAACCAAAGAUGUUAAUGAAAGAUUAGAUGAACACAAAAAAUCAGAAAACGUUAAUAUUCCAAAAAAUUUAUCUGAAAGUCCCGACAGAGAUUCCUUGCCUAAUUUGGGGAUGUCUAAUCUUCAAUGCUCAAUUUGUCACGUUCCUUAUUUAGGAACUGUUAAUGUUAGUUCUGUUUCAAAGUGUCGAAUGUGCAACAACGGAAAAGUACCAGAAGUAUUAAUAACAACGAUAGAAAUUCCUGAAGGAAUACCAAUAAUAGGUCGUGGUUGUUUUUUGCAAUCAUACGUUUGUCGGCCUAUUAAGGAAUUAAAAGGUGAAUCAUACGCUAAAGAAAUAUCUGAUGGUCUUCCAUUUUUGGAAUACGAAUUACAUCGAAUUUUGAUAAAUAAGUUAAAAGUGAAGGGGAUGAACGCUGUUUUUGGGUUGAAAGUAAGGAUUUCAAUCGGAGAAAAGAUGGUUAUUGGGAUAGCGACGGCGACUGCCGUGUUUUUAUCGGCUUUACCAACGCCUCCUUUACCCAAAUUAGUUUCUGAUCGAUCAUCCGAUGAUAAAAAAUUAGCUAAUUUGCAAAAAGAAUUGCACGAAACUGUUCAAAAGAAUAAAGAGGUUUAUCAGAUUAAGUCAAUUAAAUACGACGAUGAUUUUUCAAAUGGAAGGAAUUUAUCCGAUACUGAAGAAUCUGAAGAUGAACAGCCUAUAAUUGAAAUAAAUUCAGGAAAAGAUUGUUGCGUUUUAGAAAUUGAAGACCCAGAAGAUGCGGAAGUUUUAAAUUUAUUAAUAGACGCACGUCCACCAGAUGGUUUUCACGUAGUUAACACGGAAGUUGUUCCCGGUUUGGAAGAUUUAGAAAUAGUUAAAAACCUUCAAAUGUUUAUACAAAUAUGCCGAGAAAAAAUUCAACCUCCUUAUAGCAUAGAUAAAAGUUUUCAUCGAUUACUUGAAACCGUUUAUUUCAAAUUGCGCAGAAUGAUUCCUUGCGCAUUAUGCGAUUUACAAUUCCGGGUUGAAAGCCCCGAACCGGAUGAAAUUCAACUCUGCGUUGGAUGGCUCUUGGGUUGGGCGAUCCACCGAAAGGUGUUAUUAAACGGAAGCUGAAACCGAUUCUUUCAAAACGAAACGAAGAGGAGUUAAUUUUUAAUUUAGAAGAAAUUAAUCAAAUACCAGAAAACAGCGUUUUUCAAACGCCACCUCAUUCUACACUGUUACACGGCCAAUUAUCGAAACAUCGGCAAAAAUCGCCGCAAAGAAAAAAACAAGCUACUCAAAGACAUAUGCCGCAUCGUGAGAGACAUGGGGUUGAUAUAACACCGUUAUCUUAUGUGCCUGGAGGUCAAAUUGAGAGGUAUCUAGGUAAAUUAAAUUUUUUCUUCAUCCGAGAAACGACGUCGAUACGCGAAGAAGGGGGAACGAGUGGAUUUAUCCACAGUUUUAUAACUGAAAUUUUGGCUAUUGUAAGGGCGCAUGUCACGGCUUUGGGAGGAAACGCUAUGGUUGCUUAUUUUAUGACGGAAUGUG
rnacentral:misc_RNA from 1 species